rnacentral:snoRNA from 1 species
CCCCUCUCAGGAUCGCACCUGGAGAGUUUCCAGUACUCUACCAGUCUUGCCUUUGGGAGGGAGAGUCAAGCUGAGACAUACUCAUUCCAUUCUUAGCUUGGGCAGUGGCUAGCAAGUGGAAGGCAAUCUGCUACAAGC